UCGUUAAAUAUCAGGAUGAAUACUUGCAUUGAGGUCAGGUUAAGGUAAGGGUUAGGGUUAGGCAAGUAAUGUUUGUUGUUAUGGUUAGGUGGUGAUUAAGCCUCUAGGAAAUGAAUGCAAGACUAUGAAAUGUCCCCAAAAGGGAUGUAAACACACUGUGUGUGUGUCAGGGGGGCGUGGUCUCAGGGUUGCAGGUCAUACAUUGUUCCAGAUAGCUGAUUGGAGGAAGGACGUGUCAGGGAAUGUGCAGCAGCUACAGAUGUCUGCAAAGAGCCACCAGGUCACGACCCUGAUGUUGGUGUCAGGACCCCGCACCCCACCUCCAUCUGCAUCAUCAUCAUCAUCAUCAUCAUCAUCACAACCAUCAUCGUCGUGAGGGUGUGAGACUGAACGACACAUAGGCUCUUUGUCCCUUUGUGAGAAGCAGGAGGAUUUAAAGCCCCUUUCAGACUGAAACAUUCUGGUCGAUCAGCAACUGAAGAAAACGAAGACAGAAAAUCUGGAGGGACAUCAGGCCACAUUUAAAGGCCAGACAACAAUAUAAAUGGCAGCACAGGAACGUGGUUGGACCUGCUGUGGCAAGCUAUGGUGAAGCUGUGAUGACUGGUCGCUGAGCUCCUUUGUGGUGUGACAAGGCCUUUAUUCCACCUGAACUUACCAGCACAUUACGCCUUAGGUCUCAUCACAUCACUUUCACAUUGCUGUGCUGUUCACUCAACAAAACUUUCUCUCCUGUGAUCAUUAAUCCUGAAGUUAUUGUGGUUUGCACACUCCUCCUCCUCCUCCUUCUCUUCAUCGUCCUCCUCGUCCAGUGUUGUGUCUCCUCACAGCCGUCUUGUUGUCCAGGAAGGUUUUAAUCUAAAGGAGCGCUGCCGUCAAUCAUCCUCCUGAAUGCUGCCUCCUCCUCCUCCUGAAUGUUGCGCCUCCGUCUCAGUGCGGCCUCAACCCGCUGGCCUCCACCUCCAUCAAUCUGCUGUUGCUUUCUGGGAGCAGAAGCUUCCUAUUCACUUGUCUGCGACUGUUUGCUCAGGGUUAUAAUUUACCUCUGGUUUGCCCAGCAUUAGCAACCACAAAGGGGACAGUUUGGACUGAGGGUUUAUCUGCAACCCACCGGGGUCAUGGCAACGCCACGACCAGAAGACACAGCACCGGCAGAGCCAGAGGACACUUUAACUUCAAUUUCCAUCAUUAAAGAAAAGGUUUUGUCUCCACCUUAGCAUCCAUUCAGUUUAAGGUGGAAGGAGUGAAAACAGCCAAAUUCCUUUCAGGGAGCCUUUGACUUUCAGUUUUUAGUUUGGCGUUAUUUUAUAUUCUCAAAUACUUCCAUCACAGUCUGUAGCACCUUGAGGGGCACCCUGAUGUCCCUCAAGCAUCUGAGGUGUUUUGCCAACUAGAGGGGACCACGAUCCUCUGGGAUGCAGACUCCAAAGUAUCGGAAUAAACUGGCCCUUCUCUCAACACUUAAUCUCAGCUCGAUAACCCAUUGGUUGAAGAUGUGAGUCUUUAAUUUCAGAUUUAAAAAUAGUUUAGUAACCCCUUAAAAGACCUGCUGUGGUUUUUAUUGAACAGAGAGGAGGAAAUAGUGCAUUUGCUGGCAACUGUU